GCAGCCGCGGUAAGUACGGAGGGUGCGAGCGUUAAUCGGAAGUUACUGGGCGUAAAGACGCAUGCAGGUGGUUUGGUUAAGUCAGAUGUGAAAGACCCGGGGCGUCAACCUACCGGAAGUUGCAUUUGAAACUAGGCAGACUAGAGUACUGUAGAGGGGGGUAGGAAGUUUCAGGUGUAGCGGUGAAAUGCGUAGAGAUCUGAAGGAAUACCGGUGGCGAAGGCGGCCCCCUCGGACAGAUACUGACACUCAGAUGCGAAAGCGUGGGGAGCAAACAGGAUUAGAUACCCCUGGUAG
rnacentral:rRNA from 1 species